rnacentral:rRNA from 1 species
GACGAACGCUGGCGGCGUGCCUAAUACAUGCAAGUUGAGCGCUGAAGGUUGGUACUUGUACCAACUGGAUGAGCAGCGAACGGGUGAGUAACGCGUGGGGAAUCUGCCUUUGAGCGGGGGACAACAUUUGGAAACGAAUGCUAAUACCGCAUAAAAACUUUAAACACAAGUUUUAAGUUUGAAAGAUGCAAUUGCAUCACUCAAAGAUGAUCCCGCGUUGUAUUAGCUAGUUGGUGAGGUAAAGGCUCACCAAGGCGAUGAUACAUAGCCGACCUGAGAGGGUGAGCGGCCACAUUGGGACUGAGACACGGCCCAAACGCCUACGGGAGGCAGCAGUAGGGAAGCUUCGGCAAUGGACGAAAGUCUGACCGAGCAACGCCGCGUGAGUGAAGAAGGGUUUCGGAUCGUAAAACUCUGUUGGUAGAGAAGAACGUUGGUGAGAGUGGAAAGCUCAUCAAGUGACGGUAACUACCCAGAAAGGGACGGCUAACUACGUG